UGGGGAAUUUUGCACAAUGGGGGCAACCCUGAUGCAGCGACGCCGCGUGAUUUAGAAUGCCUUCGGGUUGUAAAAAUCUUUUGUAUGGGAAGAAAAUGACAGUACCAUACGAAUAAGGACCGGCUAAUUACGUGCCAGCAGCCGCGGUAAUACGUAAGGUCCGAGCGUUGUCCGGAAUCAUUGGGCGUAAAGGGUACGUAGGCGGAUAAGCAAGUUAGAAGUGAAAUCCUAUAGCUCAACUAUAGUAAGCUUUUAAAACUGUUCAUCUUGAGGUAUGGAAGGGAAAGUGGAAUUCCUAGUGUAGCGGUGAAAUGCGCAGAUAUUAGGAGGAAUACCGGUGGCGAAGGCGACUUUCUGGCCAUAAACUGACGCUGAGGUACGAAAGCGUGGGUAGCAAACAGG
rnacentral:rRNA from 1 species